ACUUUAACAUGUUAUGAAAAAUCAGAAUUUCAUUCUCAUUUCUUUAUUUCUUUCUCCAGCAACACCGAAGGGUUCUUCAAACAGAACUGGUAACAGCCUGGAGUACAGAGCAUCUUGGAAGUCCCCUUUAUCAACCAGUGUGGGGGAAAAAAGUCACUCAGCAAACAUGGUAUGAACAAAGAAUGUGAAUUCUGCACUUCUGCUACAGUUCACUUCCCUCUCUCCGCUUGCACUUCACUGGAAUGGCAUGGCCCUGAAGACAACAGGUGUAUGUAAAAUCCCUGAAGUUACUAAUUAAUUAAUUGCAAUUAAUUGCAAUUUGACUUUGUUUUUAGUACCAGGCU
rnacentral:lncRNA from 1 species